AUAGAAUACAGUAAAUACAAACAGAACCAGCCAUUUACUUCUGAAUUUUGAUGCCUGAGCAUUAACAAUACAACUUUAAGUAAUAUUUAAAUCGUAAUCACAGAACUGUUGAUUUUUGUGAAUAAGCAAAAAGUAAAAUAGCAAAAAUACCGAACUCCAAGGAAAGUUUAAACCGGAAGUCCUUUAUCAAAGGGCAAAAUCAAAAGCUCAAACACAUCAAAUGAAUGGAAAACAACUGUCAUAUUACUGACUUGGUACAGACAAAUCUGACUUCAGCACAAAAAACCAUACACUUUUACUUGUGUAAAUUAUAACAUUAAAUCAAAUAUUUGCAAGUGUAUUAUUCAAAUACGUUGCUGGAAGCUCUUUUUAAAUAUUAGAAGGGAUGUGCAUGCAAUUUGGUUAAGAUGCCUCUUACUGUUGUUGAUCUUAUGGUAGCUGAAUUUGAUUCAAAUGAAGCAUAAUCGACAGUAAAGGAAAUAAAUUGUGACUUGGAUGGAGAGUUGUCUAUUUGGCACUCAUACAUUUACCACAUCUUCUUAUAUCUAUAACUGAAGAACGGUAAAAGUGACACUACCCAAAUGUGUACUUGAUCUGUGUUUUGUGGUAAUAAGUAUUGUGAAUAAGUUUCAUAAAAUUUAGUUGAGGCAAACUUAAACUAGAGAACGGAAACGAUAAAUUCAGCAAUUUUUCCAUUUGUAAAGGGGCAUAACUCUAGAACAAUAAAAGUGACACCCCCAAAAUUCAAACUUGAUCUGUAUUUUGUGGUAAUAAGCAUUGUCAGGGACUUUCUAUACUAACUUAGUAUAGAAAGUCCCUGGCAUUGUGUAUAAGUUUCAUAACAUUUAGUUGAGGCUAACUUAAGUUAGAGAACGAAAACGAAAAAUUCAGCAAUUUUUCCAUUUGUAAAGGGACAUUACUCUAGAACAGUAUAAGUAACACCACCAAAAUUCUAACUUGAUCUGUGUUUUGUGGUAAUAAGCAUUGUGUAUAAGUUUCGUAGCAUUUGGUUAAGGCAAACUAAAGUUAGAGAACGGAAACGAAAAAUUCAGCAAUUUUUCCAUUUGUAAAGGGGCAUAAUUCUAGAACGGUUAAAGUGACGCCACCAAAAUUCAAACUUGAUCUGUAUUUUGUAGUAAUAAGCAUUGUGUAUAAGUUUCAAAACAUUUAGUUGAGGCAAACUUAAGUAAGAGAACGGAAACAAAAAAUUCAGCAAUUUUUCCAUUUGUAAAGGGGCAUAACUCUAGAACGGUUAAAGUGACGCCACCAAAAUUCAAACUUGAUCUGUGUUUUGUGGUAAUAAACAUUGUGUAUAAGUUUCAUAACAUUUGGUUGAGGUAAACUAAAGUUAGAGAACGGAAACCAACUUUGGGAUGUACAUACGGACGUACAGACGGACAAGGGUAAAACUUAAUGCCCUCUCCGCUACGGCGUGGGCAUAAAAAAUUUCAUAAAUUUGGUAAUCUGAGAUUUAAUUGUCUCCAUAUGUACAGUUUGGAAAAAGUGUUCAAAAUCAACUUUUUGGGGUUGUCUUCCUUGGAGUUCGGUAUUUUGUUAUUUUACUUUUUUUUGUAUACCCUGUAAAUGUUGGUGGUUAUCUUAUUGGUAUCUGGAGUCUUUCUGUAGUGUGCAGGUUGCUUAUCAUGUGUUUUAUUUUCAAGGCAAAUGAUUUAGAUGGUCAAUGGAGGCCGGAUGUGGGCACUUAAAACUUGUUUAUUACACAACAUUUUGUGCCUGCACCAUCCUGGCUAGGCAGGCUAUCGGGAAUAUGUGUUUGUUUCGUCUAUUUAGUGGACAGAGCAUUUUUUUCAUAGAAGAAAUAUUUUUUUAACUUUAAGGAUGUACACCUCUGAGGAACCAAAAAAUUCGAGAAUUAUAGAACUACAUGUAUAAGAAAGUAAUUGAUGAAGAAUAAAUCAUAUGGCGAUGCACAUCUUUUGUUUUGCUAGAGCAAUUUGAAAGUACCCAAUUUUAAUGAUUUUCCCAUUUUUUAUCAAUUUUUACCCAUUUUUGGGCUAUUAUCAUGAAAAUAAAAUGCUCUGCUGGGGCGCAGCUUGAUACGACCGCAGAGGUCGAACCCUGAACAGUUGGGGCAAGUAUGGACACAACAUUCAAGCUUGAUACAGCACUGAAUUUGGAUUGUAAUUAAAUAUUUGACAAAGCAUAGGUUUCUGACACAGAAAGAAUGUGGUCUAAGAACUU